UACGGGGGGGGCAAGCGUUGUUCGGAAUUACUGGGCGUAAAGGGCUCGUAGGCGGCCAACUAAGUCGGAUGUGAAAUCCCCAGGCUCAACCUGGGAACUGCAUCCGAUACUGGAUGGCUUGAAUUCGGGAGAGGGAUGCAGAAUUCCAGGUGUAGCGGUGAAAUGCGUAGAUAUCUGGAGGAACACCGGUGGCGAAGGCGGCAUCCUGGACCAAUUCUGACACUGAGGAGCGAAAGCCAGGGGAGCAAACGGG
rnacentral:rRNA from 1 species